rnacentral:rRNA from 1 species
GGAGGAAGAGAAACCAACUGGGAUUCCCUCAGUAACGGCGAGCGAAGAGGGAUGUGUCCAGCGCCGAAUUCCACCGUCUUAGAAGACGGGUCGGAAAAUGUGGCGUUCGGGAGGGAGCGUGCCGAAGGACGAUGCAACGGAGCAAGUCCCCCUGACCGGGGCUGUUUCCCAGAGUGGGUGCGAGGCCCAUAGCUCCCGCGUCGUCCUCCGGAUGCGACCUUCCAAGAGUCGGGUUGCUUGAGAGUGCAGCCCAAAGAGGGUGGUAAACUCCACCCAAGACUAAAUACGGCCGCGAGACCGAUAGCAAACAAGUACCGUGAGGGAAAGUUGCAAAGAACUUUGAAGAGAGAGUUCAAGAGUACGUGAAACUGCUCAGAGGCAAACGGGUGGGCCCUCGAAGUCCCCGUGCGGGUGGAUUCAGUGGGGAGCUCUCCGGCAUCCUUUAUUCGCAAUCUCGUCGUCCGAUUCGUUCGGAACGCCACGAGGUCGGAUCAUCGGAUGACCCGGUCCGCGACCCCACGCAUUUCCACCCGCACGUCGGACGCCGCAGCCGGUUGGGCAUAAAUUAACGUCGGCCAUGAGGUCGGACGAGGCAGGUGGCCGGCGAUCGCCUUCUCGGCGUUUCGUCGGUCGUUAGCCGGUUUCCGUCCGUGGCGCGACGCCCGACCGAGGCUCUAAAGGUCGGAAGUUAAUCCGGCCGUGCCUUCCCCUCAUCUUUUUGUUGUCAACAACAAAAGUAUGAGCGGGCCGGCAGACAGGUGCGCUGCUGUGUCGUUCGCUUGCAGUCUUCGCACUGGGCGUCGCGCAGUUACUAACCGCUAGUCUGCAUCGGUCCCCGCGAGGGAUACGGAUGGCUUGCGGCGAGUAGGUCGGUCACCCACCCGACCCGUCUUGAAACACGGACCAAGGAGUCUAACAUGUGCGCGAGUCACGGGGUCUUGUUCAGGCCCAGAGGCGCAAUGAAAGUGACGCUAAUUUUAUUAGCAAGUUGGGAUUCCUAUCAAAUGAGGAAGCACCAACGACCCGCCCCGUUCGAGUCCCUCGAUGGGGCGGAGUCAGAGCUCACACGUUGGGACCCGAAAGAUGGUGAACUAUGCCUGGGCAGGACGAAGCCAGAGGAAACUCUGGUGGAGGU